GAUGAACGCUGGCGGCGGGCCUAACACAUGCAAGUCGAACGAUAACACAAUCAGCGGUUGCGUUUAAGGUUGGCGACGGGCGGGUGAGUGAGGAGUAAAUCGCCCCCUUCUUUGGCGUGGCGAAUAGCGACGGGGGACAUUACCUAAUACCUCAUAACUUCCACAGGGUAGACCAGAGGAAGCUCGGGCCUUGGGUGAUGGGUCUGGACGCUGUCGGAUUGGCUAGUUGGCGAGGUAAAGCCCUACCAAGGCGAGGAUCCGUAGCUGAUCCGAGAGGCUGAUCGGCCACACUGGAACUGAGCCACGGUCCAGACUCCUACGGGAGGCAGCAGUAGGGAAUCUUAGGCAAUGGGCGAAAGCCUGACCCAGCAAUCCCGCGUGGGUGAAGAAGGCCUUCGGGUCGUAAAGCCCUUUUGUUGGGAAAGAACAGCUGUGGGUAAAGACGCGGCUGUACUGACGGUACCUAAAGAAGAAGCCCCGGCUAACUACGUG
rnacentral:rRNA from 1 species